AUAAUAAAUGCUAGUCUCUUUCUUUGUUGCUGUUAUAAACACCCCUGCCAUGUCAUACGAUCAUGUCUGCAUCUGCACACACAAUCAUGUCUGCAUCUGCACACACAGUGUGCAGCACUGGGAUACUCUAGAUCACUGAGAUGAUAUUUGGGAAUUUUCCAGUUGUUCCCCUCAGACGUUGACAUUGAGAGAAUCCUCAUCUCAGACUGCCAGACUACAGCCCUUGUCCCUUCUCUAAGCACCGUGUCGUCCUCAUCUGUCACACACGUCAGGACUAUGCUUAAAUAAUUGAAUGUUCCUUUUUAAAGUUCCCUUCUUGGUCCUGCUCUCUUCUGUUUCUGUCCUUUUGCCUCCAGCUGCUGACUUUGUGUGUGACAGAAAGAGAGAGAGAGAGAGAGAGAGAGAGAGAGAGAGAGAGAGAACACAUGUGUGCAUGAUCUGAAGGCCAGAAGUUGACAUCAGGUGUCACUCUGACUGCUUUCUACUUUGUUAUUUAUAAUUUUUAAAUUUGUUUUUUUAUAUUAUGUGUAUGAGGGCUUUGUCCUUAUGUAUGUUUGUGUGCUACCUGUGUGCCUGGUGCCUGCAGAGGCCAGAGGAGGAUGCUGUGUCCUCUGGAACUGGAGUUAUGGAUGGUGGUAAACCACUGUGUUGGUUCUGGGAGCUGAAUCUGGAUCGGCUGCUGAGUGCUCUUAACUUCGGAGCUCUUUCUAGCCCCUGCUUCUUACUUUUUGAAACACAGUCCCUUAUUGAAUCUGGAGCUCACCAAUUCAGCAAGACCGAGCGUCUUGAGCAUCUUGUCUCACCCACACCUGAGCCCCAAGUGCUAGGGUUACAAAUGCUUGAAGCUAUGCCUGGCUCUUAAGUGCCUGUUGGUGACUGAAGUCAGGUCCUCAUGGAACAAGACUUUGUUAAAGAAGUCAUCUCUCCAGCCCUUAGAAUCUUAGUUGGUCUUCUAUUGCUGUGAAGAGACACUGUGAACACAGCAAUUCUUAAAAAAGAAAGCAUCUAACUGGGGGCUUGAUUAUAGUUUCAGAGGUUUAGUCCAUUACCAUCAUGGCAGGGAGCAUGGUGACACAUAGGCAGACAUGGUGCUGAAGAGAUAGUUGAGAGUUCUACACCCAGAUUUGAAAGGCUGUGAGAGAGAGACUGAACCUGGGCUGGGUUUGGAUUUUUGAAACCUCAAAGCCCACCCCCAAGUGGCACACUUCCUCCCAACAAGACCACACCCACUCUAGCAAGCCACACCUCUUAAUCCUUCUCAAGUAGCAUUUGGUUAUUUCCAUUUUGUUUGUUUCUUUGUUUUGUUGUUGUUGUUCAUUGAAACAGGGUCUUACUAGGUAACCUUGGCUGGCCUGGUACUGACUAUGUAGACCAGGCUGGCCUCGAACUCAGAGACUCUCCUGCCUCUGCCUUGGGAGUGUCAGGAUGGAAUGUGUGAGCCGCCAUGCCAAGCCAUAUUUGCUUAUCUCUUAAGUUCCAUCCUGAGCUCUUCAGCUUUUUUCUUUUAGACUGUGAUAUUUAUACGAAUGUUUUAGUACCUCUCCCCUCCCCCUUUUGAUAUUUCCAUUAAUUUAGUUCAACAAAUAUUAAUUGCUGCUGGCUCCACGAUAGGCAGUGUUCCAGGUACUGAAGUGUGCCGACAGAUCGGAGGGAGAGGUGCUCUUUCUGAACUAUAAUCUCAGGCGCUAAUCAGUGCUGUGGAGAAAUGGAGCAUCGUGGGUGUUAUAUUGGAGUGCCCUGGGUCAAGUCUAGUAAGGGGUUGAUAUAGUUAAUAGUCAGCUUUACUUAGGGCUCACAGGUUAUCAUCAAGGCAGCUUCUGGAGAAAGGAAAAGCAUAGAUCUUCCUUAUCUAAGAUGCAAUCAUCUCAGCUAAUCUACUGCGAGCUGUGUGGCCUUCAGCAGGUUACUAACCUCUUGGAUCUCAGUAGCCCAGAGGAAGAGAAUCAUAGGUACCUCCUAGGAGCUUGCUAAAAAUUCAGUGUGAGGACCAGAGAGGCGGCUCAGGGGUUAAAGGCCAUGAAGCCUCAGCACCUGAUUUUGACUCCCAGACUCACAUGAUGGGAGGAGGAACUGAUUCCUGUAUGGUUCCACACUUUCACAGUGGCGUGGAUGUACUCUUUCAUAUCUCCCACAAAUAAAUGCAAACACUGAAUCUGUUUUUAAAAAUAACUAAAUGGGACAACAUAAGCAACCCCCCCAAAAACCCUAGAAAAGUGUUAUAUCUUAAUAUAACUUUAUUAAUUUUAACUAAGAUAUUACUAGCUUAAUCACUUUAUUCAGUAGUUUUUAAAUAAAAAAAGUUCUCCAUGAUUUCGAUUAUGUUUGGCAUCGCGUGGCUAAUAAGAUGUGAUAUUUCAAAGACAGCUCCUUUAAACAGCUGUUGAUGCCUCUUGUCACCAUGGUAACUGCUAAGAUGGGAACUGCCGGUAUCAGCAUGUUUAUUUCCGUGAGUUGUCAUAGUUUGAUGUUCGCAUCCUGCUGGCCAGAUUUUGUUGCAGUCAUGCAGAGCAGAGAGGUGGUACAUUUGUACUGACCACUGUGUUUGAGCAAACUUUAGUAGAUUUGGAAGGUCUCGUGUAGUGACGUGUAGUGGCUUACAUGCACACAGGCAAAACGCAAAACGCCCAUACACAUAAAAUAAACAAACU
rnacentral:lncRNA from 1 species